UAGAAAAGAAUCAAUGUAGAAAGU
rnacentral:miRNA from 1 species